AUACGUAGGGAGCGAGCGUUGUCCGGAAUUACUGGGUGUAAAGGGAGCGUAGGCGGGAGUGCAAGUCAGAUGUGAAAUACAUGGGCUCAACCCAUGGGCUGCAUUUGAAACUGCCUUUCUUGAGUGAAGUAGAGGUAAGCGGAAUUCCUGGUGUAGCGGUGAAAUGCGUAGAUAUCAGGAGGAACACCGGUGGCGAAGGCGGCUUACUGGGCUUUUACUGACGCUGAGGCUCGAAAGCGUGGGGAGCAAACAGGAUUAGAUACCCUGGUAGUCCACGCUGUAAACGAUGAUUACUAGGUGUGGGGGGACUGACCCCUUCCGUGCCGCAGUUAACACAAUAAGUAAUCCACCUGGGGAGUACGGCCGCAAGGUUGAAACUCAAAUGAAUUGGCGGGG
rnacentral:rRNA from 1 species